GUGUGUUUGGACGCUGGGACCCGCGAUGGGGGGGUGGACAGACGUCGACCCAGGAGGAGUUGCAAUCGAGGUUUCUGCUCUCUGGCUUCCUCUCCGGCCGGCGACCCCCUCCCCCCGGCGCCGAGCUGGGGAGGGGAAAACAGGAUUUGAACCGUAUUAGCAUUCGCAUGCCUGGGAAGGUUGCAGCCCUCGCCUGGAACUGGGUGAUGGAAGCUUUUUCUUUCUUUCUGUUUUUAUUUUUGAAGAGGAACAGCCCUGUAAUUGUCCUGAACACAUGCUUCUCUUCUCCACCACCACCCCACCUCUUUCCUCCAGCCACCAGCGACAGAGUCCCCCCCUUUUUUGCAUUUCUUUCCCUUCCCCUUUCUUUAUUAAAGGUCCGGGAGUGGCGGCGGCCAAUCAGCGCGCGGCUUCCAUCUUGUGAGUUCAACUCCGAGGCUCCCGGGCUUGGCGAGGACGCGUUCACAGCCCCCUCUGCCUCUCUUCUCGGGCGGCCAAGGCGAAGGAGCCGCCUGACUGGGGCUUCGUGGCGGUGUAUUUCAUAUUGGGGCUCUUUUCGGGGUUUGUAAUUUGGCCGUGGGUAGGUAAUUGGCUGGAGCUGAGCGGCAGGGCGCGGCAGCCAAUCAGCGCUCGGCUUCUAUAGGGUUUGAGUUAUUAGACGCUGAUCUCAAAACAUCCUUCAUCAGACACCAAGGAGAGGCCAACAGAUGAGGGGAGCCAUUUUUCUGCAAUGGAAUUAAAUGGCCAAGCUAAAGGACUCAAAAUUGGAAGAAUGAAGAAGACCUUUUAAAAAGAUCUGGAUUUUUCCUUAUGACUUGGAAUCCAUCUUUGUCUUGUAUAACUAGGUCAUAGCACACCAUUAAUGUCAGCAGUUAACAGUUUUGAAUUCCAAAAAACCUAAAGCAGUAAACAGUCCUCAGCGAAGCCGCCUUUUUGCCAACCCAACUCUGGAAAGGUUGCAGACGUGGAAGGAGCAGAAAAAUGCCAUAAGAGUGUAACUUACUAAAAGGUUCUUGGCUGGAGAAGGGGCAACAACCGGUUACCCGCGGAGUGGACAACCCUUCCUUCCCUUGGACAGCAGGAGCAGGCCUAGUUUGACAAUCCUCCCGUCAAAGGACCCUGGGGGUGGAGAUGGCUGCCGCUGCUCGGACCAAGGAGAGAGGCGUCCAAACGUUGUGGAGUCACCUACCCUGUGCGUUCUCCAGCUGCCUGUGACCCCCCAGCAACCCCUGCCCGCGGGACUGGAGCAGAGAACUGGGUGUAACCUUGUGAGCCGUUCCAAAGUGUUGAAAAGAUAGGAUCCUGCCUUGUUGCCCGAACUCCUGGCUUCCACUUCUGCGUCAGCCCCAGUACCUGUGACCGCAGGUGGCGAGCGGCUGGGUGCGGGCAGUGCUUUGUGCUGUGGAAAGUCACUGCCCUCCAGUGCUGGUGGCCGCUGGGGCUUGCAGAGACCUGCGGCCAGGUGCCAGGUACCUUGGCAGAUAAGUGGCCUGGUCGCCAUUUCCUCCCUCCGGGCCCUUGGGUGUCCAGGCUCCUUCCUGGGCCUGGGGUUUUUAUCUCUCACCAGCCGGGUGUUAAAUAAUUGAUUUAUGGUUUCCAACGCCCCGGAAGUGGGCGUCAUCAGCCCCCACCUGGCUUGUGGUAGCUGGACUUUGCCCAUUUCUCUCCAGGCUCAGAGUCCCCGUUGGCCUCCCUGUGGCAGGGUAAUCACACAUGAGCUCGCCCCACAAAAGCCACCUGGUAUCUCCCCGACCUUCCUGGGGCCCAGCAGAUCUUGUGGCAGGAACCAGCUCGCUGUCUCCAGGACCCCAUUGUGAGCAAGAGGGUGGUGAGGGUCCCGGGACACCUUGCCACUUGGAAGCAGCCUGGGGAGGGCAGGUGUGUCUGGCUCCUGUGCCAGCCACGAGGCCUCCAAGGAAGCACUGAGCAGCUGGCUGGGCUCCUGGGUAUUUUUAGCUACAGAUUCAGCCUCACCAUCACCAUGAGAGCUGGGUCCAUAUCAAACACUGAGGCCAGAGGGGACUGGGACUCUGCCAGACUCCUGGCCGGGCAGGCAGGGUGGGUGGGGCAGUUGCAGCUGUUCUGCCUGCUCCCAGGCAGGGCUGUGCUUUUGCUUGUUCUCUGCAGCUUGUUGUCACAGAUAGUAGAGCACCUAGCCCCAUUUCUCAGGUGGACAAAAUAGACUGAGGUCUGGGGGCUUUUUUUCCUUUGAAGUUGACAGUCUUGCUAUGUAGUUCAGGCUGGCCUUGAACCAUGUACCCCAGGUUGGCCUGGAACUCCAUGGUAGUCCUCCUGUCUCAGCCUCCUGAGUGCUGGGUUUACAGGCAUGUGCCACCUGGCAGUCCAAGGAUGUUGAGGAAAGGCAGGCACCCACCCACAGACCAUUGUGGUGAACCAGGCUUCUUGAGCCUUCUCAGGAAGUUCUGCCCAGGCCCCUUGCCGGUUGGACAGCCUCCCUCCCUCCCUGAGCUUCAGGUCCUGGGUGCAGGGCUCGAGGCUAGCUGCAAAGGUAAGUGGUUCUCACUUAAUCCCAAACCCACGCUGAGUGCCCCUUUGCCGGGCUGUGGUCCUACACUGUUCGGAUCUCCAUCAGACUGGUGCCCCUAACACUUCGAGCUCUGGGCAGGCAGGAACGCAGUUGCUUCUCAAUAAACAUGUUGCAAAAAAGGAA
ensembl:lncRNA